AUAUAGAGGACAGUGGCGGACGGGUGAGUAACGCGUGAGGAACCUGCCUUUCAGAGAGGGACAACAGUUGGAAACGACUGCUAAUACCGCAUGACACAUAGGUGUCGCAUGGCACUUAUGUCAAAGAUUUAUCGCUGAUAGAUGGGCUUGCGUCUGAUUAGCUAGUUGGUGGGGUAACGGCCUACCAAGGCGACGAUCAGUAGCCGAACUGAGAGGAUGAACGGCCACACUGGAACUGAGACACGGUCCAGACUCC
rnacentral:rRNA from 1 species